GUUUUACGUUCAUGACAAUUCACAAUACAGUGAAGCUAUCAAAACAUAGUUUGAAUAGAUCUCAAGACUCAUCUACGAAGAUAAUUUCUUUCUCAGAUUGUAGGUAUUAGUUCUUGAGAAUUCUCAAUGCUACUGAGACAAGGUGGCUUGGCAGCUCCAUAGUAGAAGAACGCCAUCAUUUUGGACAGCUCAUCUGCUGUUCGGCUCACUUUCUCACGGUACAAGAUUUUCCCUGCUUUAGUGAAGAUGAGCUCGGGAAAAACAGAGACUUUCAAAGCAGACACCAAGUCAACUUCAACAACAGCAUCAAUUGCUACACACCUUGGCGAUGGUAGCCUGCAAUUCCAGAUGAUGUGGAUAGCCUUCUCCAAUUCAUCCCG
rnacentral:misc_RNA from 1 species